rnacentral:pre_miRNA from 1 species
CAAAGACGAUGUUUACAUCAACAACGUCUUUGAAAGUAGGCAUUCUAAGACAUUGCUGAAGUAAGCACCGUCUUUGAAUGCUUACUUUCAAAGAUGUUGCUGAGGUAAACACCGUCUUA